rnacentral:rRNA from 1 species
AUUGAACGCUGGCGGCAUGCCUUACACAUGCAAGUCGAACGGCAGCAUGAUCUAGCUUGCUCGAUUGAUGGCGAGUGGCGAACGGGUGAGUAAUACAUCGGAACGUGCCCUGUAGUGGGGGAUAACUAGUCGAAAGAUUAGCUAAUACCGCAUACGACCUGAGGGUGAAAGUGGGGGACCGCAAGGCCUCAUGCUCUAGGAGCGGCCGAUGUCUGAUUAGCUAGUUGGUGAGGUAAAGGCUCACCAAGGCGACGAUCAGUAGCUGGUCUGAGAGGACGAUCAGCCACACUGGAACUGAGACACGGCCCAGACUCCUACGGGAGGCAGCAGUGGGGAAUUUUGGACAAUGGGCGAAAGCCUGAUCCAGCAAUGCCGCGUGUGUGAAGAAGGCCUUCGGGUUGUAAAGCACUGUUGUCCGGAAAGAAAUGGCUCGGGUUAAUACCUGGGGUCGAUGACGGUACCGGAAGAAUAAGGACCGGCUAACUACGUG